rnacentral:rRNA from 1 species
UUGAAGAGUUUGAUCAUGGCUCAGAUUGAACGCUGGCGGCAGGCCUAACACAUGCAAGUCGAGCGGUAGCACAGAGAGCUUGCUCUCGGGUGACGAGCGGCGGACGGGUGAGUAAUGUCUGGGAAACUGCCUGAUGGAGGGGGAUAACUACUGGAAACGGUAGCUAAUACCGCAUAAUGUCGCAAGACCAAAGUGGGGGACCUUCGGGCCUCAUGCCAUCAGAUGUGCCCAGAUGGGAUUAGCUUGUAGGUGGGGUAACGGCUCACCUAGGCGACGAUCCCUAGCUGGUCUGAGAGGAUGACCAGCCACACUGGAACUGAGACACGGUCCAGACUCCUACGGGAGGCAGCAGUGGGGAAUAUUGCACAAUGGGCGCAAGCCUGAUGCAGCCAUGCCGCGUGUGUGAAGAAGGCCUUCGGGUUGUAAAGCACUUUCAGCGGGGAGGAAGGCGGUGAGGUUAAUAACCUCAUCGAUUGACGUUACCCGCAGAAGAAGCACCGGCUAACUCCGUGCCAGCAGCCGCGGUAAUACGGAGGGUGCAAGCGUUAAUCGGAAUUACUGGGCGUAAAGCGCACGCAGGCGGUCUGUCAAGUCGGAUGUGAAAUCCCCGGGCUCAACCUGGGAACUGCAUUCGAAACUGGCAGGCUAGAGUCUUGUAGAGGGGGGUAGAAUUCCAGGUGUAGCGGUGAAAUGCGUAGAGAUCUGGAGGAAUACCGGUGGCGAAGGCGGCCCCCUGGACAAAGACUGACGCUCAGGUGCGAAAGCGUGGGGAGCAAACAGGAUUAGAUACCCUGGUAGUCCACGCCGUAAACGAUGUCGAUUUGGAGGUUGUGCCCUUGAGGCGUGGCUUCCGGAGCUAACGCGUUAAAUCGACCGCCUGGGGAGUACGGCCGCAAGGUUAAAACUCAAAUGAAUUGACGGGGGCCCGCACAAGCGGUGGAGCAUGUGGUUUAAUUCGAUGCAACGCGAAGAACCUUACCUGGUCUUGACAUCCACAGAACUUAGCAGAGAUGCUUUGGUGCCUUCGGGAACUGUGAGACAGGUGCUGCAUGGCUGUCGUCAGCUCGUGUUGUGAAAUGUUGGGUUAAGUCCCGCAACGAGCGCAACCCUUAUCCUUUGUUGCCAGCGGUCCGGCCGGGAACUCAAAGGAGACUGCCAGUGAUAAACUGGAGGAAGGUGGGGAUGACGUCAAGUCAUCAUGGCCCCGACCGGGCUACACACGUGCUACAAUGGCAUAUACAAAGAGAAGCGACCUCGCGAGAGCAAGCGGACCUCAUAAAGUAUGUCGUAGUCCGGAUUGGAGUCUGCAACUCGACUCCAUGAAGUCGGAAUCGCUAGUAAUCGUAGAUCAGAAUGCUACGGUGAAUACGUUCCCGGGCCUUGUACACACCGCCCGUCACACCAUGGGAGUGGGUUGCAAAAGAAGUAGGUAGCUUAACCUUCGGGAGGGCGCUUACCACUUUGUGAUUCAUGACUGGGGUGAAGUCGUAACAAGGUAACCGUAGGGGAACCUGCGGUUGGAUCACCUCCUU